UUGGACGUUGCCAAGAGAUGUACUAAAGAAAUGGUUUAAGACCAUUGGAUAAUGUUCAAAUCUGAACUUAAUCAACUGUCCUGCUGUACUUAUUUGUUUGAUUACUAUAAUCCAUUUCCCAAACUAGCUUACAUGUUGUUCGGUAGUUCCAUGCAUGCACCCAUGCGCACGCGCGCGCACACAGAAAGGAAAACCUAACCAUUUUUCCACAAAUGCUUAGUUUCAAAUUCAAGUUGGAUAAAUG
rnacentral:lncRNA from 1 species